UUUGCCCUGGUUUAGUUUCUUAAGUAGAGCUAAGAUGAGCCCCUUUUGUUUUUGCUGUUCCUUCUCUUCUCCGGUUGUAAUCCUGUAGAAAAUUUUGCUAGGAACACAGACAGCAGAAAUGCAAACUGGUAAACAGCGACGGAAGGGGCCAGCAGUGGUCCAGCUGCCUGUGACAGCACAGCCAGGGGGCUUUCUUCCACAGCUUUCCCGAUGGAAGGAGCCUCUACAGCAAGCGGAAUCAGAGAAAGGCCUGACCCUUUUUCACCCUGGGAGAUUCGAGGAAGAAGAGAGAAAGGAACGAGGGCAGUGGAAUAAAGGGGAUGUGUCCCAGGGUUCCCCCUUCCUGGGUUUUGCAAAUGGAGGAGAAUAUGAGGGUGGCCCUGGCAGGCGGGCCAGACAACAGCUGCUCUCCAAAUGCCUGUCCCGGGCGUCUCCAAAUGCCUGUCCCGGGCGUCUCUGAGAGCUGGGCUCAGGGCCGGGGAGAGGACUCGCAAGAACGAGGAAACACACGGCAAAGAACAUCCCUGGCUCGGAAUUCACAAGCCCAGGAUAUCCCUGUCCUAACAGGAGAAGUUCAUAGUCUACUGUGUCUAGAGGCUGAUUUUGUUUUUAAAUAAAAUCACGAUUCAUUUUAAGGAGGGCUUAGAGAUACUUCUGGUAUGCGUGAUAUUUCCAAGUCUGGUGGGAAAUUCUGAUUCCUAAUUCCUUCUUUUUUAAAUCAAAUGCUGGAAACAGAGGGAAAGCACCUAGCUCCCCUCCAUCCUGAGUUACAGUGUAAGCUUUAACGUAAACAGCACUUCAUUGACAAGUAGACUGAGAUUCUGUUUUCAGAUUUCCCAUUAGCUAGUUCUGUGACCUUGAGCAAGCC
rnacentral:lncRNA from 1 species